GCCUGGUGUGGUGGUGCAUGCCUGUAGUCCCAGCUACUUGGGAGGCUGAGGUGGGAGGAUCACCUGAGCUCAGGGAUGUUGAGGCUGCAGUGAGCCAUGAGCAUAGCCACUGCACUCCAGCCUGGGCAACAGAGUGAGAUGCUGUCUCAA
rfam:Pan troglodytes isolate Yerkes chimp pedigree #C0471 (Clint) chromosome 1, whole genome shotgun sequence.